AGCAGCCGCGGUAAUUCCAGCUCCAAUAGCGUAUAUUAAAGUUGUUGCAGUUAAAAGCUCGUAGUUGAAUUUCGGGGUUAGUAGGUUGGUCAUGCCUCUGGUAUGUACUGGUCUCACUGAUUCCUCCUUCCUGAUGAGCCGUAAUGCCAUUAAUUUGGUGUUGCGGGGAAUUUGGACUGUUACUUUGAAAAAUUAGAGUGUUUAAAGCAAGCUAACGCUUGAAUACAUUAGCAUGGAAUAAUGAAAAUAGGACGUUCGAUCCUAUUUUGUUGGUUUCUAGGAUUGACGUAAUGAUUAAUAGGGAUAGUUGGGGGCAUUAGUAUUCAAUUGUCAGAGGUGAAAUUCUUGGAUUUAUUGAAGACUAACUACUGCGAAAGCAUUUGCCAAGGAUGUUUUCAUUAAUCAAGAACGAAAGUUAGGGAUCGAAGACGAUCAGAUACCGUCGUAGUCUUAACCAUAAACUAUGCCGACUAGGGAUCGGAUGAUGUUAAUUUUUUAAUGUACUCAUUUCGGCGUCCUU
rnacentral:misc_RNA from 1 species